AGUCGUUACAAAGGGCGUACGGUGGAUGCCUUGGGAGAAGAUGCCGAUGAAGGACGUAGGAGGCUGCGAUAAGUGUCGGGGAGGUGCCAACCAACCUGUGAUCCGGCAAUGUCCGAAUGGGGUAACCCCCUGCUGAAGAGGCAGGAUCCCCCGCUGAGAUGCGGGUGUGAAGGGAACCGGCUGAACUGAAACAUCUUAGUAAGCCGAGGAAUAGAAACAGAUAUGCAUUCCCCUAGUAGUGGCGAGCGAACGGGGAGAAGCCUAAACCAUUCUCGUAAGAGGGUGGGGUUGCACGACAGGAGUUGCAUUUGCAGCUUGAGCUCAACGAACGAAUUGAUAGCGUAAGGUCCCUGGAACGGGCCGCCGAAGAGGGUGAGAGCCCCGUGGGCGAAAUCAAUCUCUGCUCAAGUCCUGUUCGUAAGUACCACAAGACACGUGAAAUCUUGUGGGAAUCCGGCGUGAUCACACGCCAAGGCUAAAUACAUCUUCUCACCGAUAGUGAACAAGUACCGCGAGGGAAAGGUGAAAAGUACCCUGAAUAAGGGAGUGAAAUAGUACCUGAAACCAUACGCCUACAAGGAGUCGGAGCCGUGUUUCACACGGGGGAAUUCAGUUUGCGUGGGAGCGAAAGCUACCAAACAGUCUAUUAAAAAACAUGACUGCCCCACCCAUUGAAUUCUCUCGUGUGGAACAUGGUGACGGCGUGCCUUUUGAAGAAUGAGCCAGCGAGUUACUGGGUUCGGCGAGGUUAAGCGCUUUUGGCGCGGAGCCGUAGCGAAAGCGAGUCCGAAUAGGGCGCUUUAGUCGUUCCUAGUAGACCCGAAACCGAGUGAUCUAACCAUGGGCAGGGUGAAGUCUUGGUAAAACAAGAUGGAGGCCCGAACCCACUGUUGUUGCAAAAACAGGGGAUGACCUGUGGUUAGGGGUAAAAUGCCAAUCGAACUCGGCGAUAGCUGGUUCUCCCCGAAAUAUAUUUAGGUAUAGGCGUGGAUAAAAAACACAGAGGGGUAGAGCACUGGAUGGGCCUCGGCGCCGCAAGGGGUCGGGUUCAAAUAAACUCCGAAUACUCAUGUGUGUUCUCCACGACUCAGUCCGUGAGGGCUAAGCUUCACGGUCGAGAGGGAAACAACCCAGACCGCCAGCUAAGGUCCCUAAAUUACUGCUCAGUGGACAAGGUAGUUGGAGAGCCUAGACAACCAGGAUGUUGGCUUAGAAGCAGCCAUACAUUUAAAGAGUGCGUAACAGCUCACUGGUCUAGUCGGUUUUCCUGCGCCGACAAUUUAACGGGGCUAAGCAGUAUACCGAAGCUGCGGAUGUAGUAUGUAAAUAUUACGUGGUAGGGGAGCGUUCCAGUUGCAGUGAAGCCCAGGUGUAAACCGAGGUGGAGCGACUGGAAGUGAGAAUGCUGGCCUGAGUAACGAAUUAGGCAGGUGAGAAACCUGCCCACCGAAUGUCCAAGGUUUCCUCCGCAACGGUAAUCGACGGGGGGUUAGACGGUCCUAAGGCCUGAGUGGCUCGAUGGAUAGCAGGUUAAUAUUCCUGCUCUCACGCGUCUUUGCUUGCUCUGACGCCCAAUUAGGGUUCCUGGGGAGGUUGGAUCAAACCAGGAAAUGAAUGAGGGACGAGAAAAAGAGCAACGCUUAGGGCGCGGGAACCGUACCGCAAACCGACGCAGGUGGACAGCUCGAGAAGAGUAAGGUGAUCGAGAGAAUCCUCCUAAAGGAACUCGGCAAAAAAGCGGCCGUAACUUAGGGAUAAGGCCUGCCCCGACUUGUCGGGGCCGCAGCGAAAGUAAUCCGGGCGACUGUUUACCAAAAACUUAGCUCUCUGCUAACCCGUAUAGGGGUCGUAUAGGGAGUGAUGCCUGCCCAGUGCCAGUCGGUUACGGUGAGGGGUGAUUCCACCGCAAGGUGGAUGAGCCUCGAACUUAAGCCCUGGUGAACGGCAGCGGUAACUAUAACCGUUCUAUGGUAGCGAAAUUCCUUGUCAGGUAAGUUCUGACCCGCACGAAUGGCAUAACGGUCUGGAUACUGUCUCUAGGAGGAUCUCGGUGAAAUGACACUACCGGUAAAGAUGCCGGUUACCCGCAACAAGACGGAAAGACCCCGUGGAGCUUUACUACAGCUUGUCAUUGUGUACGUUUUUUAGAUGUGUAGGCUAGGUGGGAGCUUCGGCGAAAGAUGAAACACCACCCUUCUGAAUGAUGUGCACUAACCUGUCAAAAGUAUGGGGACAGUGGCUGGUAGGUAGUUUGACUGGGGCGGUCGCCUCCCAAAAGGUAACGGAGGCGUACAAAGGUUGGCUAGCGUUGUAUGGAAAGCAACGUGAUAGGGCAAACCCAUAAGCCAGCUUGACUGUAAGGCCUACAAGCCGAGCAGGGACGAAAGUCGGUGUUAGUGAUCCGGUCCGAACGUGUGAGAGUCGGACCGCUCAACGGAUAAAAGCUACCCCGGGGAUAACAGGCUGAUUUUGCCCAAUAGUCCACAUAGACGGCAAAGUUUGGCACCUCGAUGUCGGCUCAUCGCAUCCUGGGACUGCAGCAGGCCCCAAGGGUUGGGCUGUUCGCCCAUUAAAGCGGUACGCGAGCUGGGUUCAGAACGUCGCGAGACAGUUCGGUCCUAAUCUGUUGUGGGCGUUGAAUUUUGAGGGAGGCUGCUCCUAGUACGAGAGGACCGGAGCGGACGAACCGCUGGUGUACCAGCUGUCCUUCCAAGGGCAUUGCUGGGUAGCUACGUUCGGUCGGGAUAACCGCUGAAAGCAUAUAAGCGGGAAGCCCAUCCCAAGAUUAGAAUUCUUAGACCCCUUGAAGACUACAAGGUUGAUAGGCGUCAGGUAGAAGUCCCGUAAGGGAUGUAGCCGAGACGUACUAAUCGGUCGCAACGACUUCUUAG
rnacentral:rRNA from 1 species